AUGGUUGGUUACUUGCUGACAAGGUACAUACAUAUAUAUCUCUAUCUGUCAUCCGUGGGGUUUGUAUGUAGAGACGCCCUGUAUGAAUGUGAAUGUAUAUGCUUCUAUCCACAAACUAUUCGGAACCAGUGUGGAUGGCGUUCUUGCAGGUUGCUUGAUUUCUCGCCCGAGACAUGCAUAAUCCACCAGUGUAAGAACGGGGAAAUAGUCCAAAGCAGGCAAGAAUAUGAAGAGGCCCGCAGGUCUCAGGCUCGGCAUAUCCCAAAGAAAAUAAUGGGUGAUUCGAGUUUGGUGCGUUGCUAA
rnacentral:rRNA from 1 species